UACGUAGGUGGCAAGCGUUGUCCGGAGUUAUUGGGCGUAAAGCGCGCGCAGGCGGUUCGGCAAGUCCAUGGUGAAAGCGCCCGGCUCAACUGGGCGAGUGCCGUGGGGACUGCCGAGCUGGAGGGGAGCAGAGGCGAGUGGAAUUCCGGGUGUAGUGGUGAAAUGCGUAGAGAUCCGGAGGAACACCAGUGGCGAAGGCGACACGCUGGGCCGUACCUGACACUGAACCGCGACAGCAUGGGGAGCAAACAGG
rnacentral:rRNA from 1 species